CUGACGGAGAGCCGAUGCUGGGCAAAUCUCUGUUACAGGCGGGAAAGAAGGAAGCAAGCCACUAUCUGUGGGAUAAACGGCAGUCUGGUGAAGAGGUGUGGAGACUGAGGCUCAUACAGGUCGUGACUUGCCUGAGGCCCCGAGGCUGCGCCUCGGAAGGAAGCUUCUGGAGGUUAUCAGGAGGAAGCUUCUGAGGUUAUCACUAUCUAGAGUCUUUGAGCAAGUGUGAAUACCUGAAACGUUAUCAGAGAACAGGACAGGUGAGGAGGGAAUCAGGGUUUCAACGCAGCUAGGAGGAGUAGGGAAU
rnacentral:lncRNA from 1 species